GAUGAAGAACGUAGCGAAAUGCGAUAAGUAAUGUGAAUUGCAGAAUUCAGUGAAUCAUCGAAUCUUUGAACGCACAUUGCGCCCCCCAGUAUUCUGGCGGGCAUGCCUGUUCGAGCGUCAUUUCAACCAUCAAGCCCUGCUUGUGUUGGGGUCCUGCGGCUGCCCGCAGGCCCUGAAAACCAGUGGCGGGCUCGCUAGUCACACCGAGCGCAGUAGCACAUCUCGCUCAGGGCGUGCGGUGGGCUCCAGCCGUUAAAGCACCCACCUUUCGCAAGGUUGACCUCGGAUCAGGUAGGAAUACCCGCUGAACUUAAGCAUAUCAAUAAGCGGAGGA
rnacentral:misc_RNA from 1 species